GAUGAACGCUGGCGGCGUGCCUAAUACAUGCAAGUCGAGCGAACAGACGAGGAGCUUGCUCCUCUGACGUUAGCGGCGGACGGGUGAGUAACACGUGGAUAACCUACCUAUAAGACUGGGAUAACUUCGGGAAACCGGAGAUAAUACUGGAUAAUAUAUUGAACCGCAUGGUUCAAUAGUUAAAGACGGUUUUGCUGUCACUUAUAGAUGGAUCCGCGCCGCAUUAGCUAGUUGGUAAGGUAACGGCUUACCAAGGCAACGAUGCGUAGCCGACCUGAGAGGGUGAUCGGCCACACUGGAACUGAGACACGGUCCAGACUCCUACGGGAGGCAGCAGUAGGGAAUCUUCCGCAAAGGGCGAAAGCCUGACGGAGCAACGCCGCGUGAGUGAUGAAGGUCUUCGGAUCGUAAAACUCUGUUAUUAGGGAAGAACAAAUGUGUAAGUAACUAUGCACGUCUUGACGGUACCUAAUCAGAAAGCCACGGCUAACUACGUG
rnacentral:rRNA from 1 species